UUUAUGAUAGGUUCAUCCCAAUGCUAAAAAUAAUUAAAUCCACAAGUCUUACACUAACUAUUAUAGUUAGUCCAAAACCUUAUAUUCCUAACUGUGAGCCCUAUAAUUGAGACCGCUCCACCUUUCUCUCUCUCUCUCUCUCUCCUCUUCCGUCGGCGCCGGUGUGCGACGGCACGUUGUCGGCCUCAUGUCUCCGCACCUUCAUGUCCACCUUCAGCCUCUGUGCUGCUGUUUGAUCGUGGUGCAGGAACGAGGCCGCCGUUGUCACGCCUAACCAGCUGUGUUCACCAUUUCCUGCUGCUACUAAUCUCGGUUGUCGUCGCAUGUUGCAACGGAAACAUCGGCCUUCCCCCUUCCCCGUCUUUGCCCCCGUCGUCCAUACCACUGUAAGGAAUCUAAAGGAAGAUCGAGUUGCUGCCUGGAGACAUCGCGGCCCACCGAGACUUGUACGUCUCAAAUUCAGAUUUGUAAUAAAUUACUAUAAUCAUGUACUUAAACAUUACAACUUCCGGAUAGAGAUUGUUAUUUUUCUUA